UACGAAGGGGGCUAGCGUUGCUCGGAAUUACUGGGCGUAAAGGGAGCGUAGGCGGAUAGUUUAGUCAGAGGUGAAAUCCCGGGGCUCAACCUCGGAACUGCCUUUGAUACUGGAAGUCUUGAGUAUGGGAGAGGUGAGUGGAACUGCGAGUGUAGAGGUGAAAUUCGUAGAUAUUCGCAAGAACACCAGUGGCGAAGGCGGCUCACUGGCCCAUUACUGACGCUGAGGCACGAAAGCGUGGGGAGCAAACAGG
rnacentral:rRNA from 1 species